AAUUGCUUUGGGACUCAAGCUUUCAGAUCUCCAAAUCAUUUUAAAUCAGAAAAAGAAGCCACUAAAGCUCCAAGAGAGCAGUGGGCUUUGAGACUCCAAUCAAUUUGAGACCUCAAAGAAACCUAUGGUCUCAUUACGUCCUGCUAAUUGUCAGUUAAACAAUGCAAAAAUAGUGCCUAGUAUCCCUAUUAUUUUAUUUUUUUGUGAUUAUCUAAUAUCACAAUUCAAGAAACUAAAAAACAAAACCUAACCACAAAAAAACGGCCCACUGUUUGGUUCUCUGACAGUAGAUGAAAGUCCUUUUUUCUGAGGCAGACCCUGUUUUCAAAUAAGGCAGAGAUGAUUGUGUAGAGUACUAUAGGUACCAAGAGGAAUUACAGAACAGUGCAGCCAUUGUCAAGGGCCUCUGUACCCAUCAUCUAUCUUACUGCUCCACAGGAUGAAAGACCAUAAUGCAUUAUACAGUGCAUGCCCCUAUGCUGGUUAACCUCUCUGCUCUUAUGGGCCUGUGGGACCUGCCAUUCACUCCCAAAUGAAGACUUCUCCAGCAGGCUUGUCAACAUGUACCAGCUCCAUUUACCAACGACUAGCCUAAAUAAUACAACUUUCCAUUUUCAGACACACAGGGCAUUUUGUCAACCUCAUAGCAGACUAACUAGCCUUCUCUGCAAGAUUUUCAUUAAAUGACAGUCAAGUGUGAAAUAUUAAAUUAUUAAAAGUCAAGUCACUCUUUGUCAUAUUUCUCCCAUUACCUAAGAGAGACUAAUCUAAGCUCCUCCAAGUAUGAUGUGAAAUAUUUACACAGUCACUGAUGCUGGAAUAUGAUGGCUGUCAAAAUAAAAGUGUUUCACCUCCA